rnacentral:rRNA from 1 species
UUUAACAAAAACAUGUCCUUUUGAGUUAAAUUUGAGGUCGGGCCUGCCCACUGACAUUAGUUGAAGGGCCGCGGUAUUUUGACCGUGCAAAGGUAGCAUAAUCAUUAGUCUUUUAAUUGAAGGCUGGAAUAAAUGGUUUGACGAAAUAUUAACUGUCUCUUUAUAAUAAGUAGAAUUUAACUUCUGAGUCAAAAGGCUUAGAUGAAUAUAAAAGACGAGAAGACCCUAUAGAUCUUUAUAUAAUUGUGUAUGUAUUAAUUUGGUUGUAUUGAUUGUGGAUAUAUUAUUGUAUUUUGUUGGGGUGACAUAAAGAUAAAAAUAACUCUUUAUAAUGGAAACAUUGAUUUAUGAAUGGUUGAUCCGUUAUUAGCGAUUAUAAGAUAAAGUUACCUUAGGGAUAACAGCGUAAUUUUUUUUGAGAGUUCUUAUCGACAAGAAAGAUUGCGACCUCGA